ensembl:lncRNA
AUGAACCCAGCAGUUUCACGCCUCCUCUGUCUCCGUCAGGGUGACAGGCCUAUAGAGGACUAUGUGAGUGAUUUUUGUGAACUUUGUUAUCUGGUGGACUUCAAUGAUGCUGCUCUUAAGGACAUUUUCCGUUUCGGACUAACAAAAGAAAUAUUUACAUUUACAUUUAAUCAUUUAGCAGACGCUUUUACCCAAAGCGACUUACAAAUGAGAACAAUAGGAGCAAUCAGAUCAGAUCAAAUAUCAAGUUUGAGUUCCACUCAAAUAUCAAGUUUAAUGCCACCACAUACCCCACACUUGUCUCUACAGCAGUAUAUUCACUUUGCUUUGCGCAUGAGUGGAUCUGCUUUUACUGUGGGUGUCAUGGAGGAGGAACAUGACGCUACUCCAGGGCCUGCUCACAUCACGCCUGCCAAGUCAAAGCCUACUCAUGUCAUGUCUCACAAGAUGGCGGCCACGCCUGAGUCCCCAGCCAAGAUGGCCGCCACGCCGGAGUCCCCGGCCAAGCCUGAGUCUUGCCGUGUCAUGGCUGUCACAGAGACUGCUCCCGUGACCUCAGUGCUUCUAGUAAUGGCAGUCGCCAUUUUGAGCAUGUGGGCUGCACACUUCACUCCUGAGAUGUCUUCUGUCCACGAGUCUGCUCCUGAGGCCACUCCUGACCGCGAAUUCUCUCCAGUGGCCCCAGAGGCGGCGAUGUCCACUGCAGAACCUCCAGAGGAGACGGCUUCUGCUGCAGAACCUCCCAAGGUGGUAGCACCCACCUUUGAACUCUCUGUCUGUCCUGUAAUGGCCAAGGAGGCCGUCCACGAACUCUCUGUCUGUCCUGUCACGGCCACGGAGGGCAUUCAAAAAAUCCCUGCCUGUUUUGCCACAGACAAGUGGUCUGUCCAUGUCUCUGCUCCACCUUGGCUUCCUGCUCUGCCAGUGCCACUCCGUCCUGCUAGGCCUGCUCCACCAUGGCUCCAUACUGCUCUGGAUCUGCUCCUCUGCCCAGGUCGCCCUCUACUCCAUUGUCUGUCAUUGCCUCCUGAUCCGGAUCCACCACUGCUCCUAGCUUCAGGCCCGCCAUUGCUCCACCCUCCAGGUCCUGUUCCUUUUAUCGGGCCUGGCCCUCCAUCCCUCCCCUUGUUCCGCCUCCGCUCCACCACCCUCCUGAAUUUCUUGGGUUUUGUUUGUUUGGGCUUCAGGAGCCGCCCAAAUGUAAGGUCUGUUUUGGGUUUUGUUUCUUGUUCAUUGUUUUCAUGUCUUUUAUUUUCUUAUUGUUUGUUUGAUUUAUGCUGUUUGUGUCAUGCUUCCCUUGCCCUUUUGUUCAUUGUGUCAUGUUCUGAUUGGUUUAUUGUCUUGUCAUGUGAUUAUCAGUUCUGUUUACUCAUUGGUUGUUUUAGUCAUGUGCAUUGUUCCCCAUUGGUUUGUUCAUGUCAUGUGUCCAUCAUUGUCUGUUAUAAGUAG